CAGGAGUGACGUUAUCAUAAAAUGAUUGAAUGGGGCGCGCGCACGUUUCACUUCUGUUUCUAUGCGUUUGAGAAAGCACCAAACAAGAAUAAUCCACUGCUAAAAACCUUUUAUACUAUUAUGAAAUUUUAAUGAUAAUGCUGUAUAUUUAGUGUAUGCUGGAAUUAGUAUAUUUAAGACAUACAAGCAGAAAAUAACGCUUCUCUUUGGCCUUGACUCCUACUUUACGCAAUUGGACCAAGAAUCACUAAAAGUGGAGUGUGAUCCAAAGGUGAUGUGGUCUUCUGUCUGUGCUGUCAAGGUCAAGCGUCUUCAAUCUGGCAACCACAUGUAUCAGAUGAUCGUUGGACGCCUGAAACAAUUAGCCGGAUAACUGAGUGAGAAACCUGGAUGGUAUAAAUCAGCAGGAGGCAACAGGCUCCAAGAAGGUGAAACCAAAGAAACCACAUAAAAAAUGUCUACUGUGCCACCUACUUUUUCCACUGCAUGAUUUAAAAAUCUCACACCAACUGGAGGAAAGGUACUGUACAGCAAAAUAGAGUUGUUUUUUUUUCAAAAGAAGAAAUAUGACAAUUUUUGGGGGGUUGCAGGAGUUCACUGACUGUUUAUAGUUUUGAGUUGGAACUAGUUUACGCCAAACUACACACCCUCUUGCAGUGUGGUUACUAUUGGAGAGCACAACUGAAACUGUCCAUUCAGCAAGGUUGCACGGCGGGUCAGUGAAAAGCAUGACGGAAGCUUCACUAAAUUAAGGGGAAAUUUGUGGCUGACGUGAGAUCCUCCCACUUAAAUCAGCCAUUUAUAUAGAAUCAUAAGGGCUAUAAUCGUGGUCACCUAAAUAUGACCCUCACAUUUAGCCAUGGAACGGUUUAACCUUGCUUCAUGGCAGAGAGAGUAAAAUAUAGCAUGCCGAAAAACAAGAUGAAAUAAAGUUUGGCUGUAAUCAACC
rnacentral:lncRNA from 1 species